AGGAGAUUGAAGAGGGAUUCAAGGAGAAACGUUUGGAGAUUCGACGCGCGAGGAGGCCAAUUUGAGUGGCAAGGGCAUAACGAGCUAGAGCUUUGGCUAGUUUGAGAUACAGGUGUCCCUGAGGUUGAGAGCGAGUUUUCCUGUUGUUCAGUUUUUCAUCGGAGUUAUCGAGGUAGCUGCAUGGCGUCCGCAGACCCGAUUUCUCCCUCUAUCUUUCUUUACUAUUUCGCAUUGUAGACAUAUUUCUGCAUUAGGCUGUUGAAACCUUGUAUUAGAGGCUCAGACUUGUAACA